GAAUAAAGGCCAUCUCCUAGAAGAUGAGACAGGAGCUUGAAGUCAGCUUUAUGUUAGACAUUAAAAACUGCUACAAUUUUCAUGUCAUUUAAUCCUGGAGAAGAAUAUUUUAGAUACCCAUUAAUUUGUUAUAAAUAUUUAUAAGGAGGAGCUCCUAUCAUGGAGGACUACACAGACCAGAUUCUCCAAGGAGCAAGAGUAGAGGGGGUAUGCCAGGAAAUUUAAUUCAUAUAAAUCUGGAUAGAAAUCAGCCUUAUUUAAGAAGAUUGUGAAAUGGUGCUAACUGAAUGCGGGCAAAAGAAUUGUCCAUUAUCCCAAGAUAUUUAUCAAUAAUUCAGGACGUUUAUGAAACAAGGAAACCAUUGGUUGAAAGUCACUGAACUUGACCUUUGAAAUAAGAACUGUUAUUUUCAUGAUACAUUAGUUUGAUGGUGUACCCAUGACAUGGAUAGAAAUAUCUAUUCUUUUUCACAUACAGCACAUAGGAAGGUUAAAACUUUACUAAAAUCUGCACUUAGUGGGGUUAAAAGGCAAAUCGCUCACUUCUGGCCUGGUAUUUCAUCUUGCAUUAUCUCAUUCUCAGCUGUGGGUUGGAUGUUAUUUUUGCUUUAUACAGACCUACCAGAAGCACAGUCGUUUUCAGUGAUCAGUUUGCUAAUUAGUAGUUUCAGAAAGUGCUCAGUGUUUGCAGCUCAAAGUUUCCAAAGUUUACUUCCAG
rnacentral:lncRNA from 1 species